UUCUACCAGGGGCGCACGGCAAUGGUACCACAACUCUGGUUUUAUGUUGUAUAAGUCUGAGUGGUUAACACACAAACAAGUUAAAACUUUCAACAACGGAUCUCUUGGUUCUCGCAUCGAUGAAGAACGCAGCGAAAUGCGAUAAGUAGUGUGAAUUGCAGAAUUCAGUGAAUCAUCGAAUCUUUGAACGCACAUUGCGCCUCCUGGUAUUCCGGGAGGCAUGCCUGUUCGAGCGUCAUCAAACACAUCCUCAAGCAUUUUUGCUUGGUCCUGGAGGAAGAUGGUCUCUUCGACUAUCCCCUCUGGAAUUCCUCAGCAGAGACCACAGCAGCCUCAGGUGUGAUAAUUCUACCUCGCUUGAGUGUUACUGUGGGCUCCCGCUGGAGAACAGCCCCCCAGCUUUUAUCAUGUUUGACCUCGGAUCAGGUAGGGAUACCCGCUGAACUUAAGCAUAUCAAUAAGCGGAGGAAAAGAAACCAACAGGGAUUGCCUUAGUAACUGCGAGUGAAGCGGCAAAAGCUCAAAUUUGAAAUCUGGUACCAUUCGGUGCUCGAGUUGUAAUUUGGAGAGGCAACUUCGGAGAGGGCGUUGGCCUAAGUUCCUUGGAACAGGACGUCAUAGAGGGUGAGAAUCCCGUGCUUGGCUGACUGUCCCUCUUCAUGUGAAGUGUCUUCGACGAGUCGAGUUGUUUGGGAAUGCAGCUCAAAAUGGGUGGUAAACUCCAUCUAAGGCUAAAUAUUGGCGAGAGACCGAUAGCGCACAAGUAGAGUGAUCGAAAGAUGAAAAGCACUUUGAAAAGAGAGUUAAAAAGUACGUGAAAUUGUUGAAAGGGAAGCGCUUGAGACCAGACUCGGUGAUAGGUGAUCAGCGGUUGCUUUUGCUCCGUGCACUUGCCUUUUACCGGGCCAGCAUCAGUUACAGCGGUGGGAUAAAGGCUCAGGGAAUGUGGCUCCCUUCGGGGAGUGUUAUAGCCCUGGGUGCAAUGCC
rnacentral:rRNA from 1 species